rnacentral:lncRNA from 1 species
GCUCUACGCAUGCGCUCCUACCUGAGCCGAGCCUACAAUCCAAACCUCCCUCGCCCAACUCUGCCCGCCACAGAUGCCCCUGGGCUCCCCUCCAGACCCUGCCCCGCAUCCCCGCCAGCCUGAAGCUCCUGCGCACCUGGGCUGGGGGAGCCGGUCGGCACCCCCGGAGUCGGAGCAUCACCGCCGCUCGGAGUUGCCACAGCGACGGGGAGGAUCUCGAUGGAGACAGCAUCCCCCGGCCCCCGCAGAAUACGGAUUAACCCCUUCUCCUCCAGCUCCUCCACCUUCAGCUCCAGGGCCGAGGGCCGCGUCGGGGCAGCGGGAGGCGCUUUCUCAGGCUCUGGGGGACGCCUGGAGGGCCCCAUGGCGGUCGAUUCGCUGAAGCGCUCCUACGAACCCCACGGGAGGGGUCAGUGCCCACCAGCAGGCUCCUUGGCACCAAGCCUCCAUCUUCUUCCCGGGGUGGAGGGAGAUGUCAAGCCUAGAAGCCUCAGCUGGCCUGUUCUUGGGCGCCUGGCCUACCACCCGCCCCAGCCUCACCCGCAGGGUCUCCAACUCCUUGCGCGCCUGGCUUAGCUGUUUUUCCAGUUCUGCAAUCUUGGCCAUGGAUUCGUUCUCCGCGUCCCGAAGCCGCUCUGUCAGCUGUAGCACCAGCACAUGUUCCUCCAUGUGCUCCAGCACAGCGUUCUUGGUCUCUGUGUCCUCCAGCAGCGCCCCCACAUCAAAAAUAUUGUCCAGGUACGCCUGGAUCUGCACCUGCAGCUUGUCACUCUCGAAACCCCCGUCUCUACCAAAAAUACAAAAAUUAACCGAGUGUGGUGGUGGGCACCUAUAAUCCCAACUACUGGGGAGGCUGGAAAAUCACUUGAACCCGGGAGGCAGAGGUUGCAGUGAGCCAAGAUCGUGUCACUGCACUCUAGCCUGGGCAACAGAGCAAGACUCCAUCUCAAAAAAAAAGCAAUCAUAGAGUACGUGACCUUUUGUGUCUGGCUUCUUUCACUUAGCAUGUUUUCAAGGCUCACCCAUGUUGUACCAUGUGUCAAUACUUCAUUCCUUCUUGUGGCUGAAUAAUACUCCAUUGCACAGAUAGACCCCCCCGCCAGCCUGCUCUCUACCUUUUGUUAAUCCUGGCUUUCAAAAAUCCAACCCCGAAAGCCCCGCUCCUCCAGGAAACCUCCCAAAGGAAGCAGAGAAGGAGCUGCAGCUUCUCUGCUCAGCCUGGGCCAGGAAGCACCAAGCAGCUCUGCCCACCUUCCCCAGGGCAGGGAACUCCUCCAUGUCCUGGGCCCAUCCAGCAUGAGCCAACUCCUGCUUCUACCCUGUAUCUCUGGGUUCCCCAUUAUAUGCUGGAGUCAGAGCACCUGUCUGAGGCUGGUGCUCCCAGAGCCAGACUCUGGGCUACCUUGACCUGUUCUGGUGCCUGCAAAAACAGUUCCAUAGACUGGGGGCCUGGUAUGUGCCAGGCACUGGUCUAUGCAUUUAGAGUCAAGAUUAUCUUCUAUGAUUCUCCUAUUUCACAGAUGGCAAAACUGACACUGAGAGAGAGGAAGAGGCCUAUCCAAGGUCACACGGCAGGCAACGGCAGAGCCAGGAUUUAAACCCAGGUCUACCUGACCCCAGCACUCAUGCUGCUAACCACUCAGCCAUACUCUGCCGUGGGCAGGCAGUUCAGUCUGGGGGGCAGUACAGGGCUUACCUCCAAGUACAGGUCCAGGCCCAAGUGGGUGAACUCAUAUUGCAGGAAGACACGGAAGUUCAUGUUCUCCACCGAAUGUACCACAAUGUUGAUGAACUGCAUGCAGGCCACCUGGGAGCCAGGGACAUGGGGAGAUCUAUGAUCCUCUAGGUGGGGUUGCUCAAUGCCUUCCACCUCCACUUACCCCAAGCCUCCCUCCUUCUCCACAGUUCUCACUCCACUAACUCCCAGCCUUGGCCUGCCCAACAUUUCACCUCCAUGUUCCCUCAAUCCAGCCCCCUGCCAACAUCCACCCUUCCCCUACUGACCACUCAGUCCUUACGCUUUGCGGGGGCAGAGCCCAUUGCCCAGCACCCAGGACCCUAGCUGCUCCCUGCACCCAAGAGGGCCUGGCCCAGGCCUCAGGCUGCUGGGCUCCUGAGCUCACCAUGAAGUCGAUGUUGCUGUCCUCAUUCCGGAAAUAUUCCAUCAGCUUUUCAAAGCGGUGCUGCUCCCCACACACCUGGGUAAGGGGAAUGGCUCUCACUGAGGCCCAGUGACACACGUCCUAAGCUACCUUCUGGCUGCCACACCUGUGCUUCAACAGGCUCCUCUCCAGUUAAUUCUAAGUUGAGCCACGUCACUCUUCUGCUCAAAACCUCCACUCCCUCUCAAUCUCCCACUCUCCCUCACUUUUUCCACUCUGGCCACACUGGCAUCCUGGCACAUUCCCACCCCAGGGCCUUUGCACUUACUGUUCCAACUCCCUGGAGUGCCCUCACUCCCACACCAAGUCCCUUGCUUCCUUCACAGCUUUGCUGAAAUCUCACUUGCUCAGUGAGGCCUUCCCUGACCACCCUGCAACCAAUUCCCCCUCCCUCUGCAACAUUGCUGGCUUUUUUCUCACAGCAUUUAUCAUUUCCUAACAUACUAUGUAAUUUGCUUGUUUAUUAUAUCGUUUCUGUCUUUCCCUAUAUGGUUUCCUUUGUUCACUGAUGUGCCCAAGUGCCCUGUUCCUGACACAUAGUAGGCACUCAAUAAAUAUUCAUUAAAGGAAUGAAUGAAUGAAGAUAUCUUGUCUUAUGCAUCUUAUGCAGCCCCACACAUCUACUUCUUGCAAGCCUGUUAGCCAGAGUCCGCAACUCCUGGAGGUAUGAACCAAGGCUAGUUUGGAUCUGGCAAGGCUGAGUCAGAGGUUCAGCAGGUCCCUGUAGUUGUCCCUACCCCCACCCAGGUGGUGCCCUUACCUGACCCUGUACCUUCCAUUCAGAACUUCCCCAUCCCAGAUUGCUGAGCCAGUGAUGUGGCUCAACUUCAACUUUUGGGCGUUCCCCAAAUGCCCACCCAAUGUCCCCAGCUGCCUCCAGCAAAGGCCACAACUGCCAACAACAAGACUCCAAGCAACACCAU